AGUACCUUAGUUCAGGGGUAGAACGCAGAACUGAUAAUUCUGAGGUCGAUGGUUCGAAACCAUCAGGUACUACCA
rnacentral:tRNA from 1 species